GACGAACGCUGGCGGCGUGCUUAACACAUGCAAGUCGAACGGAAAGGCCCUGCUUUUGUGGGGUGCUCGAGUGGCGAACGGGUGAGUAACACGUGAGUAACCUGCCCUUGACUUUGGGAUAACUUCAGGAAACUGGGGCUAAUACCGGAUAGGAGCUCCUGCUGCAUGGUGGGGGUUGGAAAGUUUCGGCGGUUGGGGAUGGACUCGCGGCUUAUCAGCUUGUUGGUGGGGUAGUGGCUUUCCAAGGCUUUGACGGGUAGCCGGCCUGAGAGGGUGACCGGCCACAUUGGGACUGAGAUACGGCCCAGACUCCUACGGGAGGCAGCAGUGGGGAAUAUUGCACAAUGGGCGGAAGCCUGAUGCAGCAACGCCGCGUGCGGGAUGACGGCCUUCGGGUUGUAAACCGCUUUCGCCUGUGACGAAGCGUGAGUAACGGUAAUGGGUAAAGAAGCACCGGCUAACUACGUG
rnacentral:rRNA from 1 species